UUCUUGUCUCCAGUGCCAACAUUUCUGGAGAUACGGAAAAAGGGAUCAGUGGAGGAGUACUCAGCAGUGCCAUACAUGGCCACACUGAUGAACUGCAUGGUUUGGACUUUGUAUGGCCUACCAAUGGUGCACCCUCACAGCUUGCUGGUAGUGAGCAUCAAUGGUGGAGGAUGCGUGAUUGAGAUGAUCUAUAUCACCC
rnacentral:sRNA from 1 species